CUCCUACGGGAGGCAGCAGUGGGGAAUAUUGCACAAUGGGCGAAAGCCUGAUGCAGCGACGCCGCGUGAGUGAAGAAGUAUUUCGGUAUGUAAAGCUCUAUCAGCAGGGAAGAUAAUGACGGUACCUGACUAAGAAGCCCCGGCUAACUACGUGCCAGCAGCCGCGGUAAUACGUAGGGGG
rnacentral:rRNA from 1 species